UCUCUACUUCAUGCAUUGGUGACACUGUUGGCGUAUGCUACGACUCGCUACGGCCAGCUACGACUGUUGUUCGAUAGAUCGAGUCGAUGAGGCGUCGGGGAAUAAAGUCAGCAGGCAGACUGUUCUAUGUGGCUCGCAGAAUAUCGUUUUGCAUGGAAAAGUCAUCGUUCAGUCCGAUGCCAUAAUUCGAGGGGACCUCGCCAGUGUCAGGACUGGGAGAUAUUGCAUUAUUAGCAAGAAUGUUGUUAUCCGACCGCCUUUUAAGAAAUUCAGCAAGGGGAUUGCUUUCUUCCCUCUCCAGAUGGGAGACCACGUCUUCGUGGGGGAACGUGCCGUUGUCAACGCAGCUGUAGUUGGCUCUUACGUAUAUAUAGGAAAAAAUGCAGUAAUUGGAAGGAGAUGCAUUCUGAAAGAUUGUAGCUACAUAGAGGAUGGUGCCGUGGUGCCUCCGGAGACUGUGAUACCUUCCUUCACUCGUUUUUCUGGAAAUCCUGCCGUGUGUGUAGAAGAUCUGCCUGAGUGUACUCAAGACCUCAUGUUGGAUUUUACUAAGGAUUAUUACCAGCAUUUCCUGCCAGCAAAGAUCUAACUACCUUCAGAAAAGUUUUAGGAUCAAGAAAGUCGGUAGAGUUUCGAGCCAAAUACAUUUGACCGAGGAAUUCGUCCUGUCGAAUGAUGAGCGAUUUUAUUUAUUUUCAUGCCCAAGUGAGAUAUUAGAAUAUACCGAGUUUUACUUUAUGCAAACCAACAAAGUCAGCCAUGUUGAAUCGUGACGUCAGGGAAGAGGAAAUCGUGUGAAAUUCCCG
rnacentral:misc_RNA from 1 species